AUUGAACGCUGGCGGCAGGCCUAACACAUGCAAGUCGAGCGGAUGAAGGGAGCUUGCUCCUGGAUUCAGCGGCGGACGGGUGAGUAAUGCCUAGGAAUCUGCCUGGUAGUGGGGGAUAACGUCCGGAAACGGGCGCUAAUACCGCAUACGUCCUGAGGGAGAAAGUGGGGGAUCUUCGGACCUCACGCUAUCAGAUGAGCCUAGGUCGGAUUAGCUAGUUGGUGGGGUAAAGGCCUACCAAGGCGACGAUCCGUAACUGGUCUGAGAGGAUGAUCAGUCAAACUGAAAAGGGGAAACGGUCCAGACCCCUAGGGGAGGCAGCAGGGGGGAAUUUUGGACAGGGGGCGAAAGCCUGAUCCAGCCAUGCCGGGUGUGUGAAAAAGGGUUUCGGAUUGUAAAGCACUUUAAGUUGGGAGGAAGGGCAGUAAGUUAAUACCUUGCUGUUUUGACGUUACCAACAAAAAAAGCACCGGCUAACUUCGU
rnacentral:rRNA from 1 species